AGAUUGAACGCUGGCGGCAGGCCUAACACAUGCAAGUCGAGCGGUAGCACAGAGAGCUUGCUCUCGGGUGACGAGCGGCGGACGGGUGAGUAAUGUCUGGGAAACUGCCUGAUGGAGGGGGAUAACUACUGGAAACGGUAGCUAAUACCGCAUAAUGUCGCAAGACCAAAGUGGGGGACCUUCGGGCCUCAUGCCAUCAGAUGUGCCCAGAUGGGAUUAGCUAGUAGGUGGGGUAACGGCUCACCUAGGCGACGAUCCCUAGCUGGUCUGAGAGGAUGACCAGCCACACUGGAACUGAGACACGGUCCAGACUCCUACGGGAGGCAGCAGUGGGGAAUAUUGCACAAUGGGCGCAAGCCUGAUGCAGCCAUGCCGCGUGUGUGAAGAAGGCCUUCGGGUUGUAAAGCACUUUCAGCGGGGAGGAAGGCGGUAAGGUUAAUAACCUCAUCGAUUGACGUUACCCGCAGAAGAAGCACCGGCUAACUCCGUGCCAGCAGCCGCGGUAAUACGGAGGGUGCAAGCGUUAAUCGGAAUUACUGGGCGUAAAGCGCACGCAGGCGGUCUGUCAAGUCGGAUGUGAAAUCCCCGGGCUCAACCUGGGAACUGCAUUCGAAACUGGCAGGCUAGAGUCUUGUAGAGGGGGGUAGAAUUCCAGGUGUAGCGGUGAAAUGCGUAGAGAUCUGGAGGAAUACCGGUGGCGAAGGCGGCCCCCUGGACAAAGACUGACGCUCAGGUGCGAAAGCGUGGGGAGCAAACAGGAUUAGAUACCCUGGUAGUCCACGCCGUAAACGAUGUCGAUUUGGAGGUUGUGCCCUUGAGGCGUGGCUUCCGGAGCUAACGCGUUAAAUCGACCGCCUGGGGAGUACGGCCGCAAGGUUAAAACUCAAAUGAAUUGACGGGGGCCCGCACAAGCGGUGGAGCAUGUGGUUUAAUUCGAUGCAACGCGAAGAACCUUACCUGGUCUUGACAUCCACAGAACUUUCCAGAGAUGGAUUGGUGCCUUCGGGAACUGUGAGACAGGUGCUGCAUGGCUGUCGUCAGCUCGUGUUGUGAAAUGUUGGGUUAAGUCCCGCAACGAGCGCAACCCUUAUCCUUUGUUGCCAGCGGUCCGGCCGGGAACUCAAAGGAGACUGCCAGUGAUAAACUGGAGGAAGGUGGGGAUGACGUCAAGUCAUCAUGGCCCUUACGACCAGGGCUACACACGUGCUACAAUGGCAUAUACAAAGAGAAGCGACCUCGCGAGAGCAAGCGGACCUCAUAAAGUAUGUCGUAGUCCGGAUUGGAGUCUGCAACUCGACUCCAUGAAGUCGGAAUCGCUAGUAAUCGUAGAUCAGAAUGCUACGGUGAAUACGUUCCCGGGCCUUGUACACACCGCCCGUCACACCAUGGGAGUGGGUUGCAAAAGAAGUAGGUAGCUUAACCUUCGGGAGGGCGCUUACCACUUUGUGAUUCAUGACUGGGGUGAAGUCGUAACAAGGUAACCGUAGGG
rnacentral:rRNA from 1 species